rnacentral:rRNA from 1 species
UACGGAGGGUGCAAGCGUUGUUCGGAAUUAUUGGGCGUAAAGCGCGCGCAGGCGGUCUGAAAAGUCUAUGGGUGAAAUACCGGGGCUCAACCCCGCGUAUGCCCAGGAUACUGUCAGACUGGAGACACGUAGAGGCAAGCGGAAUUUCGGGUGUAGCGGUGGAAUGCGUAGAUAUCCGAAAGAACACCGGAGGCGAAGGCGGCUUGCUGGGCGUGAUCUGACGCUGAGGCGCGAAAGCGUGGGGAGCGAACAGG